rnacentral:rRNA from 1 species
UACGGAGGGUGCAAGCGUUGCUCGGAAUUAUUGGGCGUAAAGCGCACGUAGGCGGUUCGUUAAGUCGGAUGUGAAAGCCCUCGGCUCAACUGAGGAAGUGCACCCGAAACUGGCGAGCUUGAGUACGAAAGAGGAUCGCGGAAUUCCCGGUGUAGAGGUGAAAUUCGUAGAUAUCGGGAGGAACACCGGUGGCGAAGGCGGCGAUCUGGGUCGAUACUGACGCUGAGGUGCGAAAGCGUGGGGAGCAACAGG